rnacentral:rRNA from 1 species
GAUGAACGCUGGCGGCGUGCCUAAUACAUGCAAGUAGAACGCUGAAGGAAGGAGCUUGCUCUUUCCGGAUGAGUUGCGAACGGGUGAGUAACGCGUAGGUAACCUGCCUGGUAGCGGGGGAUAACUAUUGGAAACGAUAGCUAAUACCGCAUAACAGUAGAUGUUGCAUGAUAUCUACUUAAAAGGUGCAAUUGCACCACUACCAGAUGGACCUGCGUUGUAUUAGCUAGUUGGUGAGGUAACGGCUCACCAAGGCGACGAUACAUAGCCGACCUGAGAGGGUGGUCAGCCACACUGGGAGUGAGACACGGCCCAGACUCCUACAGGAGGCAGCAGUAGGGAAUCUUCGGCAAGGGGCGGAAGUCUGACCGAGCAACGCCGCGUGAGUGAAGAAGGUUUUCGGAUCGUAAAGCUCUGUUGUAAGGGAAGAACGAGUGUGAGAGUGGAAAGUUCACACUGUGACGGUAUCUUACCAGAAAGGGACGGCUAACUACGUG